rfam:Clostridium sp. CAG:221 genomic scaffold, scf108
UUCUUAUCAAGAGAGGUGGAGGGAAAGGGCCCUGUGAAACCCGGCAACCUACUUAGUAAAUGUAGGAUUAUGAAUUAAGAAUUAUGAGUUAAGAUUAAAAUUCCUUUGGAAUUUCUAUAAUUCAUCAUUCGUAAUUCAUCAUUCAUAACUAACUAAGCGUGGUGCCAAUUCCUGCAAGAAAGUUUGCGAGAUAAGAA